rnacentral:tRNA from 14 species
UGGGCUAUAGCCAAGCGGUAAGGCAACGGACUUUGACUCCGUGAUUCGCUGGUUCGAAUCCAGCUAGCCCAGCCA